AAAGUUACGCUAAUACCGCAUACGAUCUACGGAUGAAAGGGGGGACUCGCAAGAGCCUCGCGCGAUUGGAGCGGCCGAUAUCAGAUUAGGUAGUUGGUGGGGUAAAGGCUCACCAAGCCUGCGAUCUGUAGCUGGUCUGAGGGGACGACCAGCCACACUGGAACUGAGACACGGUCCAGACUCCUACGGGAGGCAGCAGUGGGGAAUUUUGGACAAUGGACGCAAGUCUGAUCCAGCCAUUCCGCGUGCAGGAUGAAGGCCCUCGGGUUGUAAACUGCUUUUGUACAGAACGAAAAGGCUUCCAUUAAUACUGGGGGCUCAUGACGGUACUGUAAGAAUAAGCACCGGCUAACUACGUGCCAGCAGCCGCGGUAAUACGUAGGGUGCAAGCGUUAAUCGGAAUUACUGGGCGUAAAGCGUGCGCAGGCGGUUAUAUAAGACAGAUGUGAAAUCCCCGGGCUCAACCUGGGACCUGCAUUUGUGACUGCAAGGCUAGAGUACGGUAGAGGGGGAUGGAAUUCCGCGUGUAGCAGUGAAAUGCGUAGAUAUGCGGAGGAACACCGAUGGCGAAGGCAAUCCCCUGGACCUGUACUGACGCUCAUGCACGAAAGCGUGGGGAGCAAACAGGAUUAGAUACCCUGGUAGUCCACGCCCUAAACGAUGUCAACUGGUUGUUGGGUCUUCACUGACUCAGUAACGAAG
rnacentral:rRNA from 1 species